rnacentral:rRNA from 1 species
ACGGGUGAGUAAUAUAUCGGAACGUGCCCAAUCGUGGGGGACAACGUAGAGAAAUUUACGCUAAUACCGCAUACGAUCUAAGGAUGAAAGCGGGGGAUCGCAAGACCUCGCGCGAUUGGAGCGGCUGAUAUCAGAUUAGGUUGUUGGUGAGGUAAAAGCUCACCAAGCCGACGAUCUGUAGCUGGUUUGAGAGAACGACCAGCCACACUGGGACUGAGACACGGCCCAGACUCCUACGGGAGGCAGCAGUGGGGAAUUUUGGACAAUGGGCGAAAGCCUGAUCCAGCAAUGCCGCGUGCAGGAAGAAGGCCUUCGGGUUGUAAACUGCUUUUGUACGGAACGAAAAAGCUCUUUCUAAUAAAGAGGGCUCAUGACGGUACCGUAAGAAUAAGCACCGGCUAACUACGUGCCAGCAGCCGCGGUAAUACGUAGGGUGCGAGCGUUAAUCGGAAUUACUGGGCGUAAAGCGUGCGCAGGCGGUUAUAUAAGACAGUUGUGGAAUCCCCGGGCUCAACCUGGGAAUUGCAUCUGUGACUGUAUAGCUAGAGUACGGUAGAGGGGGAUGGAAUUCCGCGUGUAGCAGUGAAAUG